rnacentral:lncRNA from 1 species
UUUGCUUGUGUCUUCUUGCUUAUGCCUGGAUGUGAGGUCAGGUGGGGUAGGUGUGCAUAAGGCCUGCCACCUGGUGUUGGUGUGUACACAGGGCUGGCAUCAGGCCACAGAGCUCCUAAGGAAGCAAGUGCAAAUGGUCCCAAAGGCAGUAAAUGGAACAUGCGAGUAAACCUUAACACUUUUUUUCACAUUCCUUGCCACAUCAGCAAGGCCAAAAAUGGGAGAAUUGCAUUUCUUUGACAAAUAUUUCUUUUUUAUUCAUUUUCUUAUAAAAUUAUCCCCAACCUGUCUGAAGAGUCUGCCAGCCAUUCAUGUAUCUAUACGAGGCAGUUUUAUGGGGAUGGCAUAAGCAAAUUCCCCACUAAGACUUUCAGCUCUCUGUGAAAAAUGAGUUGCCGCUUAAUGAAGCACAGCUGAGAACCUCCAGCUGCCUUCCAGUGACUCCCCAAUUUUAUAUCUCGACACCAGACUUCUCCUCUGCAGUCCAAAGAGUGGUGUGCUGGUCAAUGUUUAACAACCAAUUCUCCAAAGGGGAAGAAAUAAUACACCAUGAAUUGUCGCAUUUGCCAAUUUCCAGGUGCAUAUAUUCUCACUGUGGCUGACAUCAAGCUACUGACAUGAUAUGACUGAACACAGAAUUGGAAGAGAUGCAAACUAGUGUGAGUGGGUCUAAUGCACCAUCGGAUCUUUUAUCUGUCCACCUGGAGGGAAAAUAAGCACCUCAAAAUCAGUAUGUGCAAAGCUGAACUAAUCUCUCUCUGCCCCACAUUCAAAUUUGUCCUCUUCUGGGGUUUUCUAUCUGAGUGAAUGGCACCACAAUGAAACUGGUUUUGCAAGCCAGGCCCCAGACAUCAGUUGUAGUCCUCACCACCAUACCCAAACCAUCACUAAGGCCUAUUGAUUUUACUUCCUAACUAUCCACAAUCUGCCCACUUCCCCCUACACUAUGCUCUCAUUCUUCAUCACCUGGAUUAUUGCAAAAGGCUCCUGGGUGAUUUCCCUGUGUCCAUUAUUACACACACAUGCACCCAACCCGUUUUCCUUAUUAGCCAGAGUGAUCUUUGAAGAAUGCAAAUAUGAUAACGCCACUACCUUGCUCGUUAAACCCUUGAAUAGCUUCCCAUAGGUCUUAGGAUGAUAGUCAAAAUCCUCAGAAUAACCUGAAAAACGUGAAUAAUGCCUCUGCCACUUUAACCUAAUCCUGGGCUGUUCUGUACACACACCCCUUGCUCCUCUGUCCUGCAACACUGGCUGUUUUUCUGUUCUUUAGACAUGCCAAGCCCUCUACCAUUCAGGCUUUUCCACAAAUUUUUCUCUUUGUUCGAGAUGGAGUCUCACUCUGUUGCCCAGGCCGGGGUGCAGUGGCGUGAUCUCGGCUCACUGCAACCUCUGCUUCCUGGGUUCAAGCGAUUCUCCUGCCUCAGCCUCCCGAGUAGCUGGGAUUACAGGUGCCCACGACCAUGCCUGGCUAAUUUUUGUAUUUUUAGUAAAAACGGGGUUGCACUAUGUUGGCCAGCCUAGUCUUGAACGCCUGACCUCGGGUGAUCCACCCACCUCGGCCUCCCAAACUGCUGGGAUUACAGGCUUGAGACCCCACGCCCAACUGUCCACAAAUUUUUCUAUGCUGGAAAAGCUUGAUCUAAUGAACUCCUUCUUAUUCUUCAAUCUCAGCUAAAAUUUUCUUAGAAAGGCGAUCCCAAUGGAAGCGAUCACUCUAUUCUUAUCUUCCAUAACAACCUGUUCUUGGCUUCCACUGCCAACAGCAGUGUAUGGAAGUCCCAGUUGCUUCACGUCCCAACCAACAUUUGGUUUAUCAAACUUCAGAGUUUCUGACAUCCUAAUGUAAUGGUAUCUUAUUAUGAUUUUCGUUUGCAUCUCUUGGAUUACUAAUAAAUUUGAGCAUCUAAAAAUAAGUUUAUCGGCCAUUUGAAUUUCCUUUUGCAUGAAAUGCCUGUUUGAGUUGGUUGCCAUUUUUCUGUUGAGUUGUCAUAUUCUUAUUCAUUAUUAGAAAGAUCCCUUGUAUUAGUCCGUUUUCACACUGCUGAUAAAGAAAUACCUGAGACUGGCCAGUUUACAAGGGAAAGAGGUUUAAUGGAGAACUCACAGUUCCACAUGCCUGGGGGAGCCUCACAAUCUUGGCAGAAGGUGAAUGGCACAGCUCACAUGGUGGCAGACAAGAGAAGAGGGCUUGUGCAGGAAAACUCCCCUUUAUGAUAACCAUCAGAUCUCAUGAGACUUACUCACUAUCACAAGAACAGCACGGGAAAGACCUGCCCCCCAUGAUUCAAUUACCUUUCACUGAGUCCCUCCCACACAUGUGGGAAUUCAAGACAAGAUUUGGGUGGGACACAGCCAAACCAUAUCAUCCCUGUACAUAUCAUUGAUAUUAGACUUUGUGGGUUAUAUGUAUUACAAGUAUCUUCUUUCACUCUUUGCCUUGUUUUCUUAUUUUCUCCAGUAUGUUUUUUGGUGAAAGUAUGUUUUUAAUUUUAGGAUUGCCAAAUACCUUACAAGCAGAAAUUACAAGAAUUUCUGCUUAUAAGAGUCCGUUGGGGGAAGCUCUCUCAGGUUUUGUUUGUCUGAAAAGGUUAUUAUUUAUUCUUCGUUCUUGAAAAAAUAAUUUGACUCGGUAUGGAGUUCCAGGAUGACAGUAACUGAAAAAAUUUCGCAAACUGAAAAAAAAAUUCUACUCUCUUUUGGCUUUGAUUAUUGUUGAUAAGAAAUAACCUUUAAUGUAACUCCUUCCCUUUGAAGGUUGUUGUCUUUUCUCUCUGGCUUGCAUUGAAAACCUGCUUGUCUUUGAUGUUCUUUGGUUGUUGUUGUUGUUUUUAAUAAUGCAUCUACCUUUGGAUUUAUUUUAUUUAACCCACAGGGAAUUUAUUGGGCUUCCUGGCUCUGACAGUUUGAGUCUUUCAACAAAUCUGGAAAUCUCUCAGUCAUUAUUUUAUUGAAUAUCACCUCUUCUUCAUUCUCUCUCAUGUCUUCUACUGAACUCUAAACAUAUAUUACAUCUUCUUAUUCUCUCUUCCAUCUCUUUGUUUCUCUGGGCUGCAUUUUGGAUUUCUUCAUGCCUAUUUUCUAGUUUAGUAAUUGUUUCUUUGGUUGUGCUUAAUCUGCUGUUUAACACGUCUAAUAAACUUUUAAAUCUGAAUAUUAUAAUUUUCAUUUCUAGAAGUUCUACUUUACAAAUUUGGUUCUCCUUACAAAUGUGCUCAUUUAUUUUCAAAACUCUAAAGGAAAUAAAAAUAUUUAUUAAAAUACUUGGCCAGGCACAGUGGCUCACAUCUGUAAUCCCAGAACUUUGGAAGGCCAAGGCAGGAGGACAGCUUGAGGUCAGGAGUUUGAGAUAAGCCUGGGUAAUGUAGUGAGACCCCCAACUCUACUAUAUAUAUAUAUGCCAGGCAUGGCGGGUGUGCACCUGUAGUCCUAGUCUCGGGAGACUAAGGUGGGAGGAUUGCUAGAGCCUGGGAGCUUGAGACUGCAGUGAGCUGGAAUUGUGCCAUUGCAUUCCAGCCUGAGUGACAGCGAUACCCUGUCUUCAAAAAUAAAUAAAAUACUUAUUUUAUAUUCUAUUUGAUAGGUUCCAUAUCGAAAAUCUUGGUCUCUCUGACAUCUAAUCUAACUAUCUAUCUAUCUAUCUAUCUAUCUAUCUAUCUAUCUAUCUAUCUAUCUAUCUGACACAGAGAUGUGCCACCUAUAUUCCACAUCAAGGAAAGAGUUGACGCCCAGAUGUCUAUGCCCAGCUGUGGGGAGAAAUGAGCUCAGCAGGCAGCCUCCAUCUGCAGGGAGCUGCCUUGCCUACGGCCAUGCCCUAUUCAAAAUAGCCUGCAUCUGAGGACAGAGUGAGGGUAUCAAGACCUGGCCAUUUUGUGAGGGUAUCAAGACCUGGCACCUCUCAUGGAUGAUAUUUUCACACACUGGGUUGAACAAGGGUUUGUUAGAGCUACAUUACAGUUCAACUUCUCCUUCUCCUCCCUUUCACAGUUGCUGACCCUAAUAAACACUGUAUUCCAAGGUCUGACCCUGUGGCUGCUUCCAAAGCACCCAAUCUGCAACAUGUGUGGGUGUGUCUGCAUGUUCUGCUGCUACUUGCUCAUGUUCCUGGCUCUUGUUCCUUGUUUCCUUCUGUAUUUCUGUUUCUUGAGACUUUAUCUGUUGAAAUUCUUUGAGAUUGAGUUGAGGUUGGGUUCCUUUUGAGAGUACAGAUGGUCCCUGACUUAUGAUGGUUUGACUUCACAAUUUUUUGACUUUACUAUGGUGCAAAAGUGAUAUGCAUUCACGGAAAACUGCAUGAUCCUCUUUUGAGAUGCUAGGCAGUCAGCCAGGGGAUCAUGAUCGUAAGGGCAAACAACUGAUAAGUGACAGUGAGCUGUGUUGUCUGUUGCCCAGCUGCAGGCUAAUGUAAAUUCUGAGCACAACGAAGGUGACUAGGCCAAGCUCUGAUGUUUGGUAGGCUAGUCAUAUUAAAUGCAUUUUAGACCUAUGAUAUUUUCAACUUACAAUGAGUUUAUCAGGAGGUAACCUCAUGGUAAGUCGAGGAGCACCUGUAUAUGACAUUUCUUCUAGAAGUCACCUGGGGCAUGACCAGCUUGAGACCAAUUUGUCUGUUUUUUCAAAACACAGACAUAGUGUGUAUUGGCUGAAAACCCAUAUGAGUGGGGAUUGUAGUUAAGACUUCUCAAGAUAGGCAUGUUCUUUCUUUCCCCUUCUUUGCUAGUCUGUUUCCUACUUACCCUUAUACUAAGGCUAUAGAUGUUCUAGGCUUCACUUGGUGGGGCAGUCUCUCCACCUUGGGUGGGCUUAAUUUUCUGUUUCUCAUGCCCCUGUAGCUCUCAAAUGGAAACGAAAGGUCAUCAGAGUUCAGUACUUAGUUUUGGGUGGAGGCUGCUUUGGAUCUUCCUUACUUUCCGUAGUUCCCAGGCUCAGUAUCUUACUUUGAAACUGGAAACUCCUGCUUCCAAGUUUCAGAGUAAGAUAGAUGCCUCACUUUAUUGCUGGCAUGUUGAUUCACUAAAAUGUUAUUUUCUUUUGUUUCAUAUUUAUCCAGUUUCAUUUAUUUUCCUUUUCUGAAAUUGGGGCUGGGUCAUUUAGGGUUUCUAGUCCACCAGACUUGGAAAUAAAUGUCUGGAGUCACGUUUAAGUGGACUUUACCUAAAAGGGCCACCUGGAGAGCCAGAGACCCGACCGGGGAGAGAGUUUGUGUUGAUUGGACCAUCAGAAACAGAGUUAAUAGGGAGUUGUAAGUGGCUAAACAUGGGAAGCAGGGAGCUUUUUGAGAGAUCCACAGUUAUGCAGAACGUCUCUUAAAUGUACUCCAGGAAAAAUAGUCAGUUUUGGGGGUCCCCAAGACAAGGGAGCACUAUUAGAAGGUGGAGGCACUGUCUGCCAAAUCAGAGCUUCCCUGGCCUUGGCUUUCUCCCAGGAGGAGCCAGAGGAGGAUUUGUGAGGAGGGGACAGUACAGAAGCAUGAAGCUUAGAAAGACAAGAGACCCCUGCCCACUCCAAGGCCUCCAAGGCAAAGCCGAGAGUGGGGAGAAGCUUUAAGUAAAGUUCAGAAUUUUGAUUAAGACAGAGGAACAAGUACACCAAUGGCAAAAAGAAGACCACUCUUGUAUAUUCUUACAACUAUGGUUGUACCCAAUCUCCCUUCCAGAGGAGGGC